rnacentral:rRNA from 1 species
CCCGCUGAACUUAAGCAUAUCAAUAAGCGGAGGAAAAGAAACUAACAAGGAUUCCCCUAGUAACUGCGAGUGAAGCGGGAAAAGCUCAAAUUUAAAAUCCGGCGGUCUAUGGCUGUCCGAGUUGUAAUCUAGAGAAGUAAUGCCCGCGCUGGACCGUGUACAAGUCUCCUGGAAUGGAGCGUCAUAGAGGGUGAGAAUCCCGUCUUUGACACGGACUACCAGGGCUUUGUGGUAUGCUCUCAAAGAGUCGAGUUGUUUGGGAAUGCAGCUCUAAAUGGGUGGUAAAUUCCAUCUAAAGCUAAAUAUUGGCGAGAGACCGAUAGCGAACAAGUACCGUGAGGGAAAGAUGAAAAGAACUUUGGAAAGAGAGUUAAACAGUACGUGAAAUUGCUGAAAGGGAAACGCUUGAAGUCAGUCGCGUUGACUAGAACUCAGCUUCACUUUUGUGGGGUGUACUUUUUAGUUGACGGGUCAGCAUCAAUUCUGACUGCUGGAAAAAGGCUUAGGGAAUGUGGCAGCUCCGGCUGUGUUAUAGCCCUUUGUCACAUACAGCUGUUGGGAUUGAGGAACUCAGCACGCCGCAAGGCCGGGUUUCGACCACGUUCGUGCUUAGGAUGCUGGCAUAAUGGCUUUAAGCGACCCGUCUUGAAACACGG